CUGAUCAUAUUUUACCAAUAACAGUCACAAAGACUGGUGAUAUUUAUAAACUGUGGGUAAAAAGAUUGUUUUCUCCCCUAUUAGUCACAAAGACUGAUGAUUUUUUCAAGCCAUGGGUAAAGGGAUUGUUUUUCUCAAUCUAAGUCACAUAGACUGCUAAAUUUUUCAAGCCAUGGGUAAAGCACAGUCACAAAGACUGCUGAUCUUUUAAGCUGUGGGUAAAGUGUUAUGUUUUCUCCCAAUCUCAAGUCACACAGACUUUUGAUUUUUUUUUAACAAGCCUUCGAUAAAAGUGUUUCAAUCUCAGUCACAAAGACUGCUGAUUUGUGAGCUGUGGGUAAAAGUUUUGUGUUUUCUCUCAAUCUCAAGUCACAAAGACUUUUGAUUUUGUUUAGAAGCCUUGGGUAAAAGUGUUUCAAUCUCAGUCACGGAGACUGAAGAUGAUUUUUUAAGAAGCUUUGGGUAAAAGUGUUCCAAUCUCAGUCACAGAGACUGAUGAUAUUUUAAAUCUAUGGGUAAAGGGAAAUGUUUUUUUCCAGUCACAGUCACAACGACCGGUGAUUUUUAUAAAUUGUGGGUAAAAAGAUAGUUUUCUCACCUAUCAGUCACAAAGACAUGAUUUUUUCCAAGCCAUGGAUAAAAUGAUUGUUUUUCUCAAUCUCAGUCACAUAGACUGCUGAAUUUUUCAGGCCAUGGGUAAAGAGAUCACAGUCACAAAGACAAAUGAUUUUUUAAAGUCAUGGGUACCAAAACUAAUCAACCCAACGCCUUUCUACGUCUUUGUCUAAAAGACUUAACAUCCAUCCAGCCAAAUUAUUAGUCGUUAUGUUACAGUCACAAAGACUGAUGAUUUUUCAAAGCCUGGGUAAGUCGCAAAGACUGCUGAUUUUCUCUUAAAAGCUGCGGGUAAAAGAGAGUUCCAAUCUCAGUCACAAAUACCGCUAAUGUGGGUAAAAGUGUUAUGUUUUCUCUCAUUCUCAAGUCACAAAGACUUUUGAUUUUUUAGUAAGCCUUGGGUAAAAGUGUUUCAAUCUCAGUCACAAAGACUGAUGAUUUUUUCAAGCCAUGUGUAAAGGAAUUGUUUUUAUCAAUCUCAUUCACAUAGA